UACGUAGGGUGCGAGCGUUGUCUGGAAUUAUUGGGCGUAAAGAGCUCGUAGGCGGUUUGUUGCGUCGGCCGUGAAAACCUGCAGCUUAACUGUGGGCCUGCGGCCGAUACGGGCAGACUUGAGUUCGGUAGGGGAGACUGGAAUUCCUGGUGUAGCGGUGGAAUGCGCAGAUAUCAGGAGGAACACCGGUGGCGAAGGCGGGUCUCUGGGCCGAUACUGACGCUGAGGAGCGAAAGCGUGGGGAGCGAACAGG
rnacentral:rRNA from 1 species